rnacentral:tRNA from 1 species
GCCUAGUUAGCUUAGUUGGUAGCGCGUCUGCCUUGUAAGCGCUAGGCCGCGGGUUCGAUUCCCGCCCGCGGCA